GUAUUCUUCAACUGCAGUUAUAGUAGUUCGGAUACUCCACUGAGUGAGGGUCAGUGCCAUUGGUUUUCUCCCAAGGGUUCUACUUUGCUUAAAGCGGGCUCUAAAAAUCGCAAAUGCCGCUCAACAGAUGGCUAAUGCUACUCGGGGUAGUGGUGGUUUAGUUAUGCUGUUCAUUGAAAUCAUCAAUAAGAUCUUUUACCUGUUUGCUGUUGCUUUUCUGCUGAUCUACCAGUCACUUUUCCAUCUAUUUCACCACCUUAGCUGCAAUUUUUUUCGAUGGAGGUUGUAGGAGUUGAAAUUCUCUCUCUGACAGAACUAUUAGCCAUUUCUUGGACUGGAUUUGGCUGUUGAUGAAAUGACUCUGCAUCAUAUUUGCAUUAAGUGCUUCUUGUACUAACUUUAUGGCUGCAGUCUGUUGCAGUCCAAGUUUCUCUGUCUUUGCAACUUGGUCAUCAACUUCCUAGAGAUUGUUGCUGUUUUUACUCAGCUCCAUAUUCAAGUUACUCAUCUCAUGGCUAUUGUUUCCAUCUCCACUUUCUUUUUCAUCUGCUUGAAUGAUAUCUUGGGCCUCAUUCGUUUAUGGUUCA